rnacentral:lncRNA from 10 species
ACAUGAAAUACCUGAACGCAAUGAAACAAUGUUUACAGAGUGCUGAGAAAUGAGGUUGAAAUAAUACUCAGCCACAUUUUUAUUCAGGAAAAGGCAAUAUAAAGACUCCUCCAAUUCAAAAGCACUUGGAAAGAAGCCACCUCUGUACUCUUCAUUAAAAAUUACAUGAGAUGGACUCUAACAAACUAAUAAACUGGGUCUUGAGAAGACAGGAGGCAUCGCUAAAGCUUGUGUAUGUCUACUUGUGCCUUGUGAGUCUGUUAUUGUGUAAAGAUGCUCUCAGAGGGGGAAUGAGAAUGUGCUUCUAGUUCUGCCCCUAAAACUAGAAAAUUAGUCUUUAAUCCCAUAGGAAAAGAGACCUGGCCCCUUACGCUGAUCUGAGAAAAUAUGGAAUAUAGGUAGUUCCCAAAUAUACCGGACAUAGGAACCUCUCAGGGAAUAAACUUUGGUUGAUAAAUUGCAAACAGGCGGCCAGGCGCAGUGGCUCACGCCUGUAAUCCCAACACUUUGGGAGACUGAGGCGGGCAGAUCAUGAGGUCAGGAGAUUGAGGCCAUCCUGGCUAACACGGUGAAACCCCAUUUCUACUAAAAAAAAAAAAAAUGAAAAAAAAAUAGCCAGGCGUGGUGGCACGUGCCUGUAGUCCCAGCUACCCAGGAGGCUGAGGCAGGAGAAUCACUUGAGCGACAGAGCAAGACUCCAUCUAAAAAAAAAAAAAAAUUGCGAACAGGCAUGGAGGAGCCGGGGUACAGUAUUUUGAAUCACUAUACACAAUGC